AUAUGCGAGCAGCGUAUUCUUCAAUAUUCUUCUUGAUCCAUUCAUUAAUUCAUCCAUUCGCUCAUCAAAAUAUCAACAUGCAUUUGAUUCAGGACAAAAAAAAAAAAAAAAAAAAAAAAAAAAAAAAAAAAAAAGCAAAACAAUAAAACAACCGUAAAAUUACGAAUAAACGAAAGAAAUAGACCGAAAACAAUAUAAGAACUACAAAAUAUCAAUAUGACGUAAUUAUCAACAAAACAAGACUACAAACACAAAAAUAGACAAAAACAAACUAGAAAAAACUAAAUAAUAAAAAGAAACUGAAAAUUACAAAGAAACAAGAGAAAAGACCAAAAAUAAUAUGAAAAUAAUUACAAAAUAUCAACAUGACAUAACUACCAACAAAACAAGACUACAAACACAGAACAAGACGAAAAAAAAACCAACUAGAAAAUACACAAAACCAUAAAAUGCCACCAACAUUACAAAUAAAUGAUAGAAAAAAAACUAAUAAAUAAAUAAAUAAAAUAAUACCCUCGUAGAGUCAGGAGGAGACCGACACGAAGGGAUGAGUUCAACAUGGCAAGAAGACGUAAGGUUUCAGGUAAGGUCUCCUACAUUUCUUUUAUUUUCUCAGUUGUAGGGCUAGUUAGGGAUUUUUUAAGGUACUGUAAUUGCUCUUACAUGUUUGAAGUAUAAGUGAGUUUCGUGUCAGGGGAUAAAUGGAGCGGAAAUGGGUUAAUAAUGAGUUAAGUUGAGUGUAUCGUGUGGUGCAAGAUGGCGCGUUAGUGAUUCGGCUAAAAAGCUUCAAUGUUAAUGAAUCUGGUGUGUCCCUUUCAGACCUGGUGCACAUUGCUAUUAAGAGAGAACUCGAUUAUAGCUCAGGCUUUACCCUUGGGAAAAGUGGCAUUUUUAUCCCACAUCUGGAUUUAGCAAGUCCAGGCUGCACUAGAACAAGAAAACGAAGAAAGUGUCUGGCUCGAGCAGCUCCGUCAGUCCCGAUUCCCUCCCGCCGUCCAUUGACACCAUUGACCAACCCUGUCAUGUUCUCCACCUUUCUUGCCAUCCCAGCUGUCAUGCAGCCCCGCUGACUCGCCACACGGUUUUAGGGAUGAAGCUUGUGGUGAAGAAUUUGAGCAAGGAUUGAGAACGGCUAGGCAGGCUGGGUGGUCUCCGCAGCCAGCCUGAUAGUAUCCACCACUCCACUCUCCCUUAUUUCCACCAAGGGAGGCAAUGCACCACAUCUCACCUAG